rnacentral:sRNA from 1 species
UCUCGGUAAACAAAAGUACUAAUUAUUGA